AGCGAACGCUGGCGGCAGGCUUAACACAUGCAAGUCGAGCGGGCAUCCUUGUGGUGUCAGCGGCAGACGGGUGAGUAACGCGUGGGAACGUGCCCUUCGGUUCGGAAUAACUCAGGGAAACUUGAGCUAAUACCGGAUACGUGCGAGAGCAGAAAGGUUUAUCUGCCGAAGGAUCGGCCCGCGUCUGAUUAGCUAGUUGGUGAGGUUACGGCUCACCAAGGCGACGAUCAGUAGCUGGUCUGAGAGGUUGAUCAGCCACACUGGGACUGAGACACGGCCCAGACUCCUACGGGAGGCAGCAGUGGGGAAUAUUGGACAAUGGGGGCAACCCUGAUCCAGCCAUGCCGCGUGAGUGAUGACGGCCUUAGGGUUGUAAAGCUCUUUUCUCCGGGACGAUAAUGACGGUACCGGAGGAAUAAGCCCCGGCUAACUUCGUG
rnacentral:rRNA from 1 species